rnacentral:rRNA from 1 species
AUUGAACGCUGGCGGCAGGCCUAACACAUGCAAGUCGAGCGGGGUUUUCGGACCUAGCGGCGGACGGGUGAGUAAUGCGUAGGAAGCUACCCGACAGAGGGGGAUACCAGUUGGAAACGACUGUUAAUACCGCAUAAUGUCUACGGACCAAAGUGUGGGACCUUCGGGCCACAUGCUGUCGGAUGCGCCUACGUGGGAUUAGCUAGUUGGUGAGGUAAUGGCUCACCAAGGCGACGAUCCCUAGCUGGUUUGAGAGGAUGAUCAGCCACACUGGAACUGAGACACGGUCCAGACUCCUACGGGAGCAGCAGUGGGAAUAUUGGACAAUGGGCGAAAGCCUGAUCCAGCCAUGCCGCGUGUGUGAAGAAGGUCUUCGGAUUGUAAAGCAACUUUAAGUUGGGAGGAAGGGCAGUAAGUUAAUACCUUGCUUGUUUUAGACGUUAACCAACAGAAUAGCACCGGCUAACUUCGUGCCAGCAGCCGCGGU